CUGCUUCGCGUUCUUCUCAUGGAACUAUAUUGACUCACCUCAUUCCCUGGAUAAAUCAUGGAUUUGAUCCUCAAGGAAUCCUUUUGAAGUACCUGGAGGAGAGGAAGGUGAUCAGGAACAGUCAACAUGGAUUCACCAAUAGCAAGUCAUGCCUGACCAACCUGAUUGCCUUCUAUGAUGAAAUAACUGGCUCUGUGGA